AAAUGGUUGGGUGAUAUUGAACUAAAAAUUAGCUUCUCUGAGUCUUCUUAUUAAUUCCUCAGAAUUUAAAAUGACAUUAUCCACUGUGUAGGUAUGUCUUGAUGAUUACAUCAAAUAGAUGUAUGUAGAAACUAACUUUUAAACUUUUAAGCAUAAUGUACAUUCAUUAUGGUUUACCAGUACUCUGGGAAGCUGAAGCAAAAGGAUCGUAAGGCAGAGCAAUUUAACCCUUUAGCGGCUGGGUGCGUACUAUAGCUCAGGGAAGACUCUAUAUUCAAUCCUUAGUACCACAAAAAAAUAAGGUGAAAUAAAAUAGAAGCUAUCAGAAUUAGAUUAAGAAUAUUUUUUUAAUUACUGGCCAUCGAACUCUGGACCUUGUGCUUGGGAGGCAGGUGACAGAACCACUGAGCAAAAUCCCCGCCCUUAGACUAAAGCAUUUGGCUAGACUGCCUUUUAUUAAUUUUCAUCACUUCCAUUCAGAUUCAAACUAAUCCAGUUAUCUCUCUCUCACUGAGCUCUGCCCCCACCCUCAUACUACCAAGGACCUUAUAGAUCACUGCCAUUCUUCACUCCAUAGGGAUAGACAUUACCAAAAGGAAAGUGGUAAUUUUACUCUCCAAGUCGAGCUUCCUCUCUGGGAAGUGUAACGAAGAACUGGGUUCCUUGCGCAUCCAGCCGCAGAGGUACUGCAAAGUCGGUUUCAUUAAGUCGCUGAACUGGACAAACUGGUGAUCCUCCUGCUUCAGUCUCCCAGGGUGCUGGGAUCACAAUUCUCAGCACUGAACAGGAGAUUCUGGACGUUGUUCUUUAGACCCC
rnacentral:lncRNA from 1 species